rnacentral:rRNA from 1 species
UACAGAGGUCUCAAGCGUUUGUUCGGAUUCAUUGGGCGUAAAGGGUGUGUAGGUGGCGCCGUUAGUCGGGUGUGAAAUUUCGGAGCUUAACUCCGAAACUGCAUUCGAUACUGGCGUGCUUGAGGACUGGAGAGGAGACUGGAAUUCGAUGGUGUAGCAGUGAAAUGCGUAGAGAUCAUGAGGAAGACCAGUGGCGAAGGCGGGUCUCUGGACAGUUCCUGACGCUGAGGCACGAAGGUCAGGGGAGCAAACGGG